GCCUUCGUGGUGUAAUGGUCAGCACACUGAGCCGGUAUUUAUUUCAGAGGUCCGUGGUUCGAUUCCCGGCGAAGGAA
rnacentral:tRNA from 1 species